UUUCUUCAGAAGGUGUUGACUCCAUGUGCAGAAGUCAUUCUCAGUGAAGAUAUAGCAUCAACAUGCGGGUCCUUGGUGAGAUCCUGGGGCUGUUGCUGCUCUGUUUUUCAGGUGUGAGAUGUGAUAUCCAGAUGACCCAGUCUCCACCUACUCUGUCUGCAUCUCUUGGAGACAGAAUCACCAUCACUUGCCAUGCCAGCCAGAACAUUAACAGUUGGUUAGCCUGGUACCAGCAGAAACCAGGGAAUGCUCCUAAACCCUUAAUCUAUAAGACAUCCAACUUGCACACAGGAGUCCCAUCGAGGUUCAGUGGCAGUGGGUCUGGGACAGAUUAUUCUCUCACAAUCAGCAACCUGCAGCCUGAAGACAUUGCCACUUAUUAUUGUCAACAGGGUCAAAGUAACCCUCUCACAGUGAUACAAGUCAUAACACAAACCUCCCAGGAGUGCAGUGAAGUAAGACUGAGCUGCCUCAGCUGUUCCUCUUAG